rnacentral:rRNA from 1 species
UGGGGAAUAUUGGACAAUGGGGGGAACCCUGAUCCAGCCAUGCCGCGUGUGUGAAGAAGGCCUUAUGGUUGUAAAGCACUUUAAGCGAGGAGGAGGGUACUGGUAUUAAUACUACCAGGUACUGGACGUUACUCGCAGAAUAAGCACCGGCUAACUCUGUGCCAGCAUCCGCGGUAAUACAGAGGGUGCGAGCGUUAAUCGGAUUUACUGGGCGUAAAGCGUGCGUAGGCGGCUAAUUGAGUCGGAUGUGAAAUCCCCGAGCUUAACUUGGGAAUUGCAUUCGAUACUGGUUAGCUAGAGUGUGGGAGAGGAUGGUAGAAUUCCAGGUGUAGCGGAGAAAUGCGUAGAGAUCUGGAGGAAUACCGAUGGCGAAGGCAGCCAUCUGGCCUAACACUGACGCUGAGGUACGAAAGCAUGGGGAGCAAACAGG